GUUAAUGCCGACAUGCCUAUUACGGAGAGAACAGGCAGAUCAUAAAGACGCCGUAAAUCCGUCCCUGGGGCUCGAGCCGCGCCAUCCCUGGCGCGGACGCUUU
rnacentral:ncRNA from 1 species